rnacentral:rRNA from 1 species
CCGCCGGACCUGACUGCUAUCGGAUUGAUACUANNCCAUGCGAGUCAUUGUAGCAAUACAAGGCAUACGGCUCAGUAACGCGUAGUCAACCUAACCUAUGGACGGGAAUAACCUCGGGAAACUGAGAAUAAUGCCCGAUAGAACAUUAUGCCUGGAAUGGUUUAUGUUCCAAAUGAUUUAUCGCCGUAGGAUGGGACUGCGGCCUAUCAGUUUGUUGGUGAGGUAAUGGCCCACCAAGACUAUUACAGGUACGGGCUCUGAGAGGAGUAGCCCGGAGAUGGGUACUGAGACACGGACCCAGGCCCUAUGGGGCGCAGCAGGCGAGAAAACUUUGCAAUGUGCGAAAGCACGACAAGGUUAAUCCGAGUGGUUUCUGCUAAAGGAACCUUUUGUCAGUCCUAGAAACACUGAUGAAUAAGGGGUGGGCAAGUUCUGGUGUCAGCCGCCGCGGUAAAACCAGCACCUCAAGUGGUCAGGAUGAUUAUUGGGCCUAAAGCAUCCGUAGCCGGCUCUGUAAGUUUUCGGUUAAAUCUGUACGCUCAACGUACAGGCUGCCGGGAAUACUGCAAAGCUAGGGAGUGGGAGAGGUAG